UGCAAAGGGGCUGUGGAGGUGAGCCCUGUGGUUUUAGUGCUCACUCCCAUCUUCCUGCUCACACCAUGGACCAUCUGCAUCCACACACAAGCCCAGCUCCACUUGCAGAUGUUGGUCCCACAUGUGGCCCUGUGCAAACAUGAGCUGACUUGCUCUGGCUGCUUCCAAGGUCAUGACAGCUAGUCCAGUUUAACAGCAGACUGUCAUAUAGGAUGAUGUGGGCUUCUCAUACUCUCCAUCUCCAGGAUGUGUUUGCCAGCAGGUCAUGCUCUGUUUGGGUCGUGUGUAUAAUCAAAAGGAGCAAGAGAUGGAGGCAAGUGUUUCCUCCAUGUGCUGCAUCCAUCCAAGAUCAGCAAAACCACUCACUGAUUGCCCUCCUCGUCAGAUCCAGCUGAAGAUCAAGAGCAGCAGCAGCAUAGAGGAGGAUUUGUAACUUUUUGUGUGGUCAGGAGUGAGGGAAUUGGAGGUUAACCCUUCCUGCCCCAGCUGUUUGUGGGCAGUCGAUGCUUGAAGGGAAAACCAGAUAGCAAAACAGUCUCAGGGACUGGAGGGAAUGUCUGCAGCCUCUCAGAGGUGAGGGGGCAAAAAUGAGAGAUUCAAUCUUACAGCACUGGAUACUGCUGUGAUGUGAACCCAACUUUUAUUUUGCUGGUAUGGUCUGUGGCUAAAAAUGGCUGUAGAUGUGUCUGAAACUGUGAGGGAGAGAGAGGCAGGAGCUUUUCAAUUCCUCUUCUGCUGUGAGAUCUAGGCUUCAAAGACAAGCUUAAAUUGAAGCAUCAGGAAUAAAUAAGGCUCCCCUGGGACUCGUGUGGCUUUGAUAUCUGAAGCUGCCUGAUGGGUGGAAGAGUUGGGUCACAGAUUCCCUCUGCUUGCACAUGUUCUGAGAGAGCCUCUGAUGCCACCCUUUGUUUCUGGCACAACCACAGCAAAUGCAGCUCAGGGUCUGCCUUGGGUUGGGGUAGGUGCCAUCCAGGCUGAAGGAGACACCAUAUUCUUGAACCAAAUUCAGCUCAAAAUGUAGCCCAAGAGACUGGCAGUGCUCUGAAUGCUGCAGGCCUUGGUGAAAGCAGUGAUUCUGCAAAGACCCACACGGUGCUUAACUGGACCUUCUUCCAAGUGCCACUGGCUCCCAGGGACCUGCUUGAAGGAAUUCAGGAUAACACAUGUUGAGCUAACUGCAGCACCCUGACGUCCUCCCCUGCUUCAAAAUGCUUAGGGGAAGGACAUUAUCCUUUAAGAUAUCCAGUUUUAUAGCAGUAAUUCCAAUCAUUAGGACAGGAAAAAAAAUCCAUGUGUUACUGUAUUAGUGUUUCAGUCCAAUCCACUCAACUUUCUCAGAUUUUUUUCACAUGUAAUUUCCAAGGAGCAGUGCAGUUCCCUGGCUGGAUAAAGCUUCAGCUGUGUAACCAUUUAUGUAGCCAGCAGUGUUGGAAAGAUUCUAUAAUUAGAAAUAUUCCUGGAAUGCUUGUAGAGGCAACAUUUUUUCUGCAUACUUUUAUUAAUUUAUUGUAACAGUAAUCUUGUCACUGUAAACACCGUGAGAGUCCCUUUAAAUGCCAGAUAGUUUUAUAGAUUGUAUUGGGUGAUAUGAAAAUGGGCCAGUUUUAUAGGUCAUAUAUUUCUUUGAAAUGGAAUAGGUCCAGAAGACAAUUGGGAACCAGAACGGGGAGAAUUCCUCCCUCCCACCUCCUUCCAGCAGAGCAGAGGUGUUUCUUGCUACGAAAGGGAAAGAAAAAGUUUCACCUUCUAAUUGUUGUAUUGAGUAGCUCAUUGACUGCACUUUCUGUUCAAUACCUUUUUUACCACUCAGAUUGUCUAAUCAAAGGCUUUUUCCUUCCUUGGUUUAGCUUUGCAGCCUCUAGCAUUGAUCCAAAAUCAGAAACGAAAGAGAGAAAUAGGCUCUGGGAAAAGAGAACACAAUUAACACCCAAGCAGCUUCAUUUUUUGGGGUGCCUUUAAACAUCUUGCACUUCUCAGUCUAUUCUCCCAUUCUUUUAUUUUCCCUUUUGUGUUCCGGAGGUUUCUUUAAGGAAAGCCUUUAUCAGAUGCUCAGGGAGAAGAUUAAAGCACCAGUCACCGAGAAACAGGUUACUUUUUGUGUCCAAGUUCUUAAUUCACUUUAUUAAAAUGUUCCAAAUCUUCCUUCAAGAGGAGAGAUCAGAAGGACAUUUCCCUGUCACCCCUGGCAUGCCUUCCUUCCGGAUACUUGUGCUUCAUUAGAGGCUAAAAAAAACCAAAGUCAAGGCAAGGAAAAGAAGAGAGAACAGGACUGCAGUGACUGGUUAAUAUGGGAUGUGGAGCCUUCUACUUCAUGGUCACUGGUACUGCUCUGGCCCCAGGCUGGAAGCAAUUGAAAGCUUUUCCCAUCUCAAAGACACUUGUGUGAACCGAGUCAGAGAUCUCUGGCUAUUUUUACCUUUGAGGUUCAAAGACGAGAGCUUUGCAGUGAACAAAGCCAAGCAUCCAUCCAGCCUGCUGCCCUGCUGCUGAAGGCAGCAAGGAAAGGGCAGAGAAAGGGUGAGGAUAUUGAGUCUGCUUUUCUGGGUACGCUACCUGCUCCCCCCAGCCUCAGGUCAGGCAUUGCCCACCUGAAA